rnacentral:tRNA from 1 species
AGGGUAAUAACUCAGUGGUAGAGCACAUGCUUAGCAGGCAUGAGUUCCUGGGUUCAAUCUCCAGUACCUCCA